GGACCCUUAGCUCAGUUGGUUAGAGCAUCCGGCUCAUAACCGGGAGGUCGUAGGUUCGAGCCCUACAGGGUCCACCA
rnacentral:tRNA from 1 species